GGUCAAGCUACAAAGAGCUAACGGUGGAUACCUUGGCACACAGAGGCGAAGAAGGACGUAGUUACCGACGAAAC
rnacentral:rRNA from 1 species